UACGCUUUGUAAAAACGUAAGCCGAGAUCUUGUUGCAAAAUUUUUCACAGUCUCAAAGUGCAGAGGUAAUGUCAAAUCAAAGAAUUAGGCACACCAUUGAUAAUGACUUCAACAGUGAUUAUAGGUUCAUCUGUGUGAUAUCUGCAAAUUUUCGACGGUGACUUGGCGUCCGAAAGGUUUUUGGUAAUUUUCGUCAUAGUGGGUUUUGAGAAUAUCUCUGCAGUUUGUAAUCAGUGCAGUCACGAAGGUUUUGCCUGUGUAACAGAAACGGAAUAUCAAGUCUGUUAUAAUGGCACUGCUGAUACUUCUCUUACAUUUAGUUGUCCCGAUACUACAAUAUGUACUUCUCUAAAUACAUUUAUAUGCUCUCCAAUUACAAUACCUGAAAUAAGACCAGAUUGUGAACUCGGUUCUCGUUGUGAUGUAUGUGACAAUAUGAAUGAUAGGGACUUCACUUGUACGAGUCGUACCAGCUACACACUAUGUACAAAUGGUGGUCUAACAGAAGUACGUGGCUGUUGUCCGUUUGGCUAUAUAUGUAAUUUAUAUGGCACUGCUCAAACACCUUGCAUAUUAGAAAAUUGUAGUUAAUUAUUUUAAAAAUAUAUUACCAAACAUAUA